UACAGAGGGUGCGAGCGUUGUUCGGAAUUAUUGGGCGUAAAGCGCUUGUAGGCGGCACGUCAAGUCGCGUGUGAAAUCCCCAGGCUUAACCUGGGAAGUGCGCGCGAAACUGACGAGCUUGAGUGCCGGAGAGGGUCGCGGAAUUCCCGGUGUAGAGGUGAAAUGCGCAGAUAUCAGGAGGAACACCGAUGGCGAAGGCAGGUCUCUGGGCCACUACUGACGCUGAGAAGCGAAAGCAUGGGGAGCGAACAGG
rnacentral:rRNA from 1 species